CGUUUUUACUUUGAAAAAAUUAGGGUGCUCAGAACAGGCUCGCGCCUGAAUAGUCGCGCAUGGAAUAAUGGAAUAGGACCUCGGUUCUAUUCUGCUGGUUUUCGGAUCCCGAGGUAAUGAUUAAGAGGGGCAGACGGGGGCAUUCGUAUUGCGGCGCUAGAGGUGAAAUUCUUGGACCGCCGCAAGACGGACUACUGCGAAAGCAUUUGCCAAGAAUGUUUUCAUUAAUCAAGAACGAAAGUUAGAGGUUCGAAGGCGAUCAGAUACCGCCCUAGUUCUAACCAUAAACGAUGCCGACCAGCGAUCCGCCCGAGUUCUUCGUACGUCUCGGCGGGCAGCUUCUGGGAAACCAAAGUUUUUGGGUUCCGGGGGAAGUAUGGUUGCAAAGCUGAAACUUGAAGGAAUUGACGGAAGGGCACCACAAGGAGUGGAGCCUGCGGCCUCAACACGGGGAAAUUUACCCGGCCCGGACUCCGGAAGGAUUGACAGAUUAAUAGCUCUUUCUUGAUUCGGUGGGUGGUGGUGCAUGGCCGUUCUUAGUUGGUUUGGAGAGAUUUGUCUGGUUAAUUCCGAUAACGAACGAGACUC
rnacentral:rRNA from 1 species